AGGGAGGCCCCGCGUGGGAGCCGAGGGCUCAGCGUGGGGCUAGCGGGAGCCUUCGUGUCCGCCGGCGGCCCUUCCUCACUCCCUCCUCCCCCGGGGCACAUCCCAGCUGCUCGGUUCCCGGCCCUCACGCACCCCGCAGCGGGGCCGCCGCGCUCUCCGCGCCUGCUGCCCGCUUCCCCUCACGGUUUGGCGCCGCCGGCUGUGGGGCUGCUCCCUCCGGCGGCCCCGGUGACCUCCGAGAGGGACGGACAGACCGCCCAAGGUACGUGAGGCUUCGCUGGCCUCACCUGUGCUCGCCUGGGGGUUAGAGGUGAUUUUCACCCGGUGUGUCUGAGGGUGGGGGUGCAUUGCUUUAUUGACCUCGGCUUUGGACUGUCUUCUAGUAACCUUCGCCAGGAAUUCCUAAGAAAGCAGCUAAACCCCUGCUGAGGUGAGGUGUGAGGUGAGCAUCAGUGGGAAAGGAGCCACACGGGUAAAAAGAUGAUAAUAGGAGGAGCCAGUGUUGGGACUCUUCAUGCUGCUGGUGGGGAGUGGUGCAGGCGGUGGUACCAGCGCAGGUGGGAGACAGACCACUCUCAGACUUGGUUUGAGCAGGGUUGUCAUGCAGAUGGGCUGUUUGUCACCUGUGUCUCUGGCAUUUACAGGCAGUGUCUGCUUUAUAAUUAGACCUGAAUGGGUGACAAAAGUAUCUCCCUGGGCCACUUCUUUUGCAUUCGUGUGUGUUCACUGCAGUCUCCAAUUUCUUUGGCUGUAUUACUCAUAGGGCUAAUGAUGCUCUCAGAGUCCUGAUGCUUUGAGCAGAAGGUGCAGGAGAAAGGUGGCAUGGAAAGAAAAAAUCGGUUUCCCUUGGAGCAACUUCUGCAUUAUGAAAAAGGAUGUGCUGGUGGUGAGUCUUAACUUGGUGAGACCUCCAGGAGCAUAAACACAUGCAGCUUAUAGCUUUUGCUGGUACAGUCCCAACAGGCAGUUUAGAUAUUUGCUUGGAUUGUUUGUCCACACAGAGGUCUGCAUUGUUGUGUCUUUGUUGGCAAGUGGGUGCUGAAUAAAAGCUGUUGUGGACAUAACUUAGUUGUAUUUGAGGAACACCUUACUUUGCAAUGUAGAUGUUGCCCACUGCCUGGAAAAAAUACCUGACUCUGCACAUUGCUUAUUUCUUGGAACGUGUUGAAUGACUUCUGCUCAGAAGGUGUGUCUUCUGUGAUUGGUGUAACCUAUUAAGUAGGUAACAAUUUAUAGUAAGCAUUAGUGCUCAUCUUAAAAUCCCAGUUUUUUCCUUUAUGACUUGAAUUUAGUCAGUUACAGCUUCAUACAUGGAAGAACUUCUUCCCCAUCAAUGGUGACUUGUCCUGGUACGCUCACAGAUCCACUUGUGAGGUGUUGGUGUGGAUUGUUUAGAAGGCCAUAAGCGCUGUGGAAAAGUACAUGUCAGAAUAAACAUGUUGCUCUUUCACUCUGAGACAAUGCAAGUCAACGCUUUUUUUUUUGUAGUAGAAGAGCCUCUGCCCUUUUGUGAGGGAGUAAAUCCAGAGACAAUAUAACAUCAUAGCAGCUUUCAUCUGUUAUCCAAGAGAACCUGUGCUAUGCUUUGCCUGUUCACCUGCUGUUAGUGUUUUACCUCAUUAUGUCUAUUUCUUGUGUAUUGCAACAGUUCUUGGUGUGUGCUGUUCCCAUGGUUUCGCAGCUGUUUGCCAACAGUGGGCUGAGGAAACCCCUCCAAGUGCUGUCUGACAAGAUGUAACUAUGUCUGAGGAAAAAAACUAAUAAUGUGUGUAUACUAACACUUCUGCUUGAUGUUUAUUUUUAGCAAGAGCACAGUCAGAACUUUCCCAAGGACUACUUUGGUGCUGUGGGAACAGUCUUCCAGUUUGUUGACAGAAGUACCUUUCUCUUCAUCAGAGAUAAACUUCUGUAUAGCCAUGAACAUCUUGAUUGCCCAUCUCUUCCACUGACAAAAGAUGCAAUUUUGUUUCUGCUAUGAUGGAGAAAGAGUUGAGCUCAGUCACUGGAUUAUGAGCAGUGAAUAAUGUCUAUCUUGUGUCUGGUGCUGUUCCACUUGGAGAGACAGUAAGCUUUGUUCAUUGCUUGUGACUGCCAGUGAAGUCUGUUCUCUAGUUGCUUACUGGAGAGGAAAGUUCUGGUAGCCUGGCUCAGCUAGCAGGUAUUAACUCAAGAACCAGUGCAGGCAAUCUGAUUCCUUGUGUUUGACCAUAGGAUGUGGAUUGAAAAACAUUGUGAACAGCAGGUCUAAGAUCCUUUUGGCUGUUGAGCUUUCUGCACAAGGGAGUCAGUUUCUUAGAAAAUAGCUAGCUAUGCAGAAGGACAAGGAAAAUGGAGUACUUAAACCUGCUGAUGGCCCGAGUGAAGAACACAUCAAAGGUUACCAUUCUGAUCCCUGUAAUCCAAGGAAGCUGAAUAAAAGGUUUUUCAGUGCAAUUGUGAUACUGGUGUUCAUCCCAGUGGUGCUUCCUGUUGCCCAUUUCUUACUUCUCUGAGGAGUACAGAGACUGAGUUUCUUUGCACUUACCUACACUUUCAUUUUGUCUGGGAGGCAGGAAAUGCUUUCUCUUGACAAUUUCUAGCAACUUUAUCCCAGCUUCAGACUUUUGGGUCUGGAGUAGAGUCCUGAUUAAGUAUCUGUUGCUGCAAGCUUGUCAGCUCUGCUUCUCAUGCACUGUUGCAGCAUAACUCAGGCUUAUUUUGGAAAGUGUGCUUUCCUUGAAGGGCUAAGUGAACAGUGACACGAGAGCAAGUCAGUGCUGUGGUAGAUGUCUAAUUUCCACUCUUGCAGGUGUGUGGACUCUCUUACGCUAAUUCUGUUCUUGUAACUUUGGUUGGUUUUAAGCCAAAUGAGCAAAAUAAAAGAUAUUUUUUUUCAUAAUAUUUUGGUCACCUCCUGCUUCUUUCAUAUGAAUUCACUGAUUGUUUUUUCAGGACCUCAGCUAAGGAAUUCCUUUGGGUAAUGUGUAUAUGAACUGGGGGAUGCAGUUGUGUCCAAAAUUUUCAAUUUGGCAAAGCUAUAGGAGGUGAGGUGAAAGAUUGCAAUUCUCUUCAGUCUUUUCUAACUAUUACUGGAAAGUCCUUAUAGCUUGUUCUUUUUCUAGGGUGUGCACAGACUUCACAAUGUAAAUCCAUAACGAAGCUUUCAGUAAAGCCUGCCAAACAAGUUGAUGCAAACUAGCUUAUCUGUUGUCAGUUGUGCUUUUUACGUGUCAUUAAGCAACUGAACUUCCUCAUACGCCAUGUAAAUGUUGCAACAAUUUUUAUUUUCAUUUAUUCACAAUUGCACACAUAAGUAAUAUACUUCAGGCACACUGCUUUCCAGAGAGUUGUUAAAGGCUCUUUUUUUUUUUAAAUGGGUAACAUGAAUUAUGCUUUGUAACUCAGAUCUUUGUAAGAUCUGACAGUAGGCAGGCUAAGUCUAAGGACAUGUUCAUUGACUUCAUGAACUGGUUGCAGUUAGUUCAGUGGUAAGUACCAUUGAAUAGCAUUUGAGAGAUGACUCAAUUGCACUGAAUAAUGGUACAAUUUGCACUGUGCAGUUAAACUGGUCAGUUAGAAAUCCACAAUAUCACACCACCUUUGUGCUCAGCUAAGUAUAGUGGUCCAACAGGUGUGUCAGCCACAAAAAUGUACUUGCCUUGGGUGUGAGAUGCCACAGAUCUUGGCUUUUUGCAAAGAGUUCCCAAGUAGAUAAACUAGCUUGUGCUACGUUUGUUGUGCUUGAACACCUUUAAGAUAACAGGAAGAAAAUAUCACUGCUCUGGAAAAAUCUAACUAUUGAAUAUAGUAAGAUACAGUCAAAUUUUAUGAAGUGUUUCUGCAGAACUUUGCUUUAGUGGUCAUUUGACUCAUAUUGCUGCUUGAAAAUUCUUCUCAAAGGAGAAUUCCUACAGCAUGUGGUGAAAUCUAAUAUGAAAGGAAAGAUUUGCUAUGUUGAAUAUGUAGUUGAGUGCUUUUGCUGUAAUGAGAAGAUACCUUGUCUCUGCAUAUCUGACACGUUCAUAGCUAUUUUUAUAUGUGCCUUCUCAUAUUUUUUUUUCCUCUUCCAAGUUCCUGAGGAGAUGAUGUUCUUUGAUUGUGUUGUUUAUAUCACACAUAAAUCUCUAAAGCUUCACCUUGCAGGACAGUGCUGAAGUGUGUGGUAAUAGAUAAGCUGUCAGAACUACUGUAACUGUUGUUGUUUAUUCAUAGGCACUUGGAGGUAGCAUGUCACCAUACUGCAAUGGAAGCCUUAAAACACCCAACCUGUGCCCCCACAUGAAAAUCAGAAAAUGCAUAGCAUCUUGAGAAGC